rnacentral:rRNA from 1 species
AUGCCCCGCCGCUGCCCUGCGCAGCCGCUGAGGCACCCGACGACGGCCGCGACGUCGCUGCCCUGCGCAGCCGCCGAGGCACCUGACGACGAGGUCGCCGAGUCACUCCACGACGGCCACGACAACGUGUUGUUCCCCAACACAGGUGCAGCCGCACAGACGCCCUGCCACGGCCGCGACGAGGAGCUCCUCGCCGACAUAGGUAGUAAUGAGAUUAAGAAUCGUAUGGAAAGGGAGCGGUCUCCAAAUCUUAGGAUAGAUCUCAUACGGAAGAUUCUGGCAAUACUAGAGCAUAACCCUUAUGCUCAAGUAUUUAAAAGCCUUGGUGCUGUUCCAAAUCUAGAUGAAUACAGGAUCUCAUUAAAUACCGAUAUCAAGCUUGAUCAACGAAGGAGAGCGUCCCCUGUAUAUUAUGCAUACUAUGGGUGCUACGACCCUUUGUCAUAUCCACUAUUCUUCCCACGUGGGGAGAUCGGUUGGAAUCGUUUGAUACCAUAUAUUGGGGCCGCCGAUGACAGAAACCAAGAUUCAGUGGUUGAUUCUGCACGACAAGAGUACCCAGCCUAUGUUCUUCCUUCAGACAAUAACAUGAUUAGCGAACAACUUGGUCAUGACGCAAGACAUGAAGACCAGGCCACUGAUUUAGCUGCAGGUAUCGCUUCAAGUGGAACUAAAAACUGA